CGCAUACUAUUAUUCCAAGAUCCCGAGUGGUCCGAGGAUUUUAAGGAUUGGAAUCGUGAAAUUUAUGUUAAAUGCACUUAUAGUGGUGUUAAUUUAUCUGAAACAGAAUUUCCGAAAAACUGGUUAAUAGAAGGUAUUCAGAUAAAGAUCCUAUUCCCCUUUCACCUGAAACCCUGGCACGGAUCUACGAUACAAUCCUCUCAUAAAGAUCCAAAAAGUGAACAAGAAACUGAUGUUUGUUUUUUAACAAUUUUUGGGCUGGAAACUGACAUGCCGUUCGGUUCUCCCCAAAAACGACGUUCCUUUUUUGAACCCAUUUUUAAAGAACUAAAAAAAAAAAUUCGAAAAUUGAAAACUAAGUCUUUUAUAGUUUUAAGGGAUUUUAAAGAAGGCAAAAUAAAAGAACUUUCAAAAAUAAACUUGAGAGAAAUCGAGAAAUUGAGGGAAACUCAAAAAAAUUCGAUAAUCAGUAAGCAGAUGAUUCACGAACCGUCUAUUGAAAUUUCAUCUAUGGAUUGGACGAAAUUAUCCCGGACUGAAAAAAAAAUGAAAGAUCUGACUAAUAGAACAAGCAGAAUCAGAAAUCAAAUAUAUAAAAUUACAAAAGAAAAGAAAAAAGGAUCGCUAACUCAAGAAACAAAUAUUAGUUCGAACAAACCAACGUAUUCUGUUAAAAUAUUAGACCCAUCAAAAAGGAUUUGGCGGAUAUUAAAAAAAAGAAACGCUCGAUUAAUCCGUAAAUCCUAUUUGUUUCUAAAAUUUGGCAUUGAAAAGAUAUACAGAAAUAUUUUUAUAUCUACCCUUACUAUUCCAAGAAUCAAUACAAAACCUUUUCGUGAAUCAACAAGAAAACAAAUGAAAAUUAUUGAGAAAAACAUCCACAAUAAUGAAGCAAAUCCCGAAAGAAUUAAUAAAACAAAUAAAAAUAGAAUUAUUUCGACUAUCCAAAAAUUGAUUUCUAAGACUAGUAAUAAGAAUUCAAAGAUUUCUUGUAAUUUAUUGUCUUUUUCACAAUCACAAGCAUAUGUAUUUUACAAAUUAUUACAAGUCCCAAUUUUGAACUUUUAUAAUUUAAGACCCGUUCUUCAAUAUCACGGAACAUCUCUAUUUCUUAAGAAUGAAAUAAAAGAUUUUUUUGAAAAACACGGAAUCUUUAAUUACCAAUUAAGACAUAAACCCCUUUGGAAUUUUGGAAGGAAUACACGAAAACACUGUUUAAGCGGGCAUUAUCAAUAUGAUUUAUCUCGGAUUAAAUGGGCUAGAUUAGUACCACAAGAAUGGCGAAAUAGAGCCAAUCAACACUGUAUGGCUCAAAAUAAAGAUUUAAUUAAAAGAGAUUCGUAUGAAAAAAAUGGAUUAACUCAUUACGAAAAACAACAUUUUUUUGAAGCAGACCUAUUACGUAAUCAAAAAUCGAAUUUUAAAAAACACUAUAGAUAUGAUCUUUUAUCAUAUAAAUCGCUUAAUUAUGAAGAUAAGAAAGACUCGUAUAUUGAUAGAUCACUAGUCCAAGUAAAUAAUAAAGAAGAGUAUUAUUCUAAUUACAAUAGAAAGAAAGUAAAAUUGUUGGCUAUGCUGGGAAGUAUCUCUAUCAAUAAUUAUUGAUUGAGAAUCUAAUUUUGAUAAUUAGAAUCAGUAUUUGAUUAUGCUGUACCAGAUCAUAUCAAUUAUAUUGUUAUUUAGAAAUAAGAUCUCCAAUCAAAAUAUUUCUAUACACGAAUUUUUCCAUAUCCAUAAUAUCAUCUUCCCUAUAUAAUUAUUGAUAGAGAUACUUCCAGCAUAGCCAACAAUUUACUUUCUUUCUAUUGUAAUUAGAAUAAUACUCUUCUUUAUUAUUUACUUGGACUAGUGAUCUAUCAAUAUACGAUCUUUCUUAUCUUCAUAAUUAAGCGAUUUAUAUGAUAAAAGAUCAUAUCUAUAGUGUUUUUUAAAAUUCGAUUUUGAUUACGUAAUAGGUCUGCUUCAAAAAAAUGUUGUUUUUCGUAAUGAGUUAAUCCAUUUUUUUCAUACGAAUCUCUUUUAAUUAAAUCUUUAUUUUGAGCCAUACAGUGUUGAUUGGCUCUAUUUCGCCAUUCUUGUGGUACUAAUCUAGCCCAUUUAAUCCGAGAUAAAUCAUAUUGAUAAUGCCCGCUUAAACAGUGUUUUCGUGUAUUCCUUCCAAAAUUCCAAAGGGGUUUAUGUCUUAAUUGGUAAUUAAAGAUUCCGUGUUUUUCAAAAAAAUCUUUUAUUUCAUUCUUAAGAAAUAGAGAUGUUCCGUGAUAUUGAAGAACGGGUCUUAAAUUAUAAAAGUUCAAAAUUGGGACUUGUAAUAAUUUGUAAAAUACAUAUGCUUGUGAUUGUGAAAAAGACAAUAAAUUACAAGAAAUCUUUGAAUUCUUAUUACUAGUCUUAGAAAUCAAUUUUUGGAUAGUCGAAAUAAUUCUAUUUUUAUUUGUUUUAUUAAUUCUUUCGGGAUUUGCUUCAUUAUUGUGGAUGUUUUUCUCAAUAAUUUUCAUUUGUU
rnacentral:lncRNA from 1 species